AGUCUGCACUAGCUCCCCGGACGGCCUCAGCCGCACCCCGGCCUUGUGCUGACGAGUGGCGGACGGGUGAGUAAUGUGUGGGAAACUGCCUGAUGGAGGGGGAUAACUACUGGAAACGGUAGCUAAUACCGCAUAACGUCUCAAGAGCAAAGAGGGGGACCUUCGGGCCUCUUGCCAUCGGAUGUGCCCAGAUGGGAUUAGCGAGUAGGUGGGGUAACGGCUCACCUAGGCGACGAUCCCUAGCUGGUCUGAGAGGAUGACGGCCACACUGGAACUGAGACCGGUCCAGACUACUACGGGAGGCAGCAGUGGGGAAUAUUGCACAAUGGGCGCAAGCCUGAUGCAGCCAUGCCGCGUGUAUGAAGAAGGCCUUCGGGUUGUAAAGUACUUUCAGCGGGGAGGAAGGGAGUAAAGUUAAUACCUUUGCUCAUUGACGUUACCCGCAGAAGAAGCACCGGCUAACUCCGUGCCAGCAGCCGCGGUAAUACGGAGGGGUGCAAGCGUUAAUCGGAAUUACUGGGCGUAAAGCGCACGCAGGCGGUUUGUUAAGUCAGAUGUGAAAUCCCCGGGCUCAACCUGGGAACUGCAUCUGAUACUGGCAAGCUUGAGUCUCGUAGAGGGGGGUAGAAUUCCAGGUGUAGCGGUGAAAUGCGUAGAGAUCUGGAGGAAUACCGGUGGCGAAUGCGGCCCCUUGGACGAAGACUGACGCUCUGUGCGAAAGCGUGGGGAGCAAACA
rnacentral:rRNA from 1 species